rnacentral:rRNA from 1 species
AAACUUAAAUGAAUUGACGGGGCCCGCACAAGCGGUGGAGCAUGUGGUUUAAUUCGAAGCAACGCGAAGAACCUUACCAGGUCUUGACAUCCCCUGACAACCCAAGAGAUUGGGCGUUCCCCCUUCGGGGGGACAGGGUGACAGGUGGUGCAUGGUUGUCGUCAGCUCGUGUCGUGAGAUGUUGGGUUAAGUCCCGCAACGAGCGCAACCCUCGCCUCUAGUUGCCAGCAUUCGGUUGGGCACUCUAGAGGGACUGCCGGCGACAAGUCGGAGGAAGGUGGGGAUGACGUCAAAUCAUCAUGCCCCUUAUGACCUGGGCUACACACGUGCUACAAUGGGCGGUACAAAGGGCUGCGAACCCGCGAGGGGGAGCGAAUCCCAAAAAGCCGCUCUCAGUUCGGAUUGGAGUCUGCAACUCGACUCCAUGAAGUUGGAAUCGCUAGUAAUCGCGUAUCAGCAUGACCGCGGUCCGAAUACGUUCCGGCCUU